UAUAAGACGAGAAGACCCCAUGGAGCUUUAAACCCAACAACACCCGCCCCCCUCCAAAUCCUAUUAUGUGCCCGGUGACUGUUUGUUCGGUUUUAGGUUGGGGUGACCGCGGAGUAUAAGAUAUCCUCCAUGAAAAAAAGCUAACUGCCCUUAUUAGAGAAAGACACUUCCAAAAAAUAAUAAAUUAAUUUUAAAUGAUCCGACAUUCGAUCAACGAACCAAGUUACCCUGGGGAUAACAGCGCAAUCCGUCCCGAGAGCCCCUAUCGACAGGCGGGUUUACGACCUCGAUGUUGGAUCAGGGUAUCCUAGUGGUGCAGCAGCUACUAAAGGUUCGUUUGUUCAACGAUUAA
rnacentral:rRNA from 1 species